UCAAAACGAGUAGCUAAUAUACAAAUCCUUUUUUUUAACUGAUUUCCUCCAUGUGUCACUACGAAAAAAGAAAAACGAAGACUAGAGUAUAACUAGUAGUAGUAGAAUAGUCAGCAGAAGAGCGACAAGGCUCACCGUUGAAUGUUUUGGUUUCAACUUUUUCAACUUUUGACCUAUCUAUGUUUAUGUAGAAAAACACAAAGAAAAGUAUAUAAAAAAUUAAAGUAAAGAAGAAGAAGGACUAAAAUAUAAAGAGAGAAAGAGAAAGAGAAAGAGGAAGAAAGAGCGCACCUUCCUUCCUUCACUCUCUUCAUCGCACCUUUUAAAAGAAUCCUCCUCACACUCCAUUCUUUCUUAAACCCAUUUCCCCCACUUGUUUCUCCAUUAACAAACAAAAAAGCUUCCAGCUUUCUUCUCAAUUUCAUUCCAGGUUUGUGUCUUUACCUCUUCUGUGGAAUCUCCAGUUUUUGUUUUUGUUUUUGUUUAUGUGUCUUAUUCUGUUACCAAGUCUUGCUAUUUCUUAGGAAAGUUCAAUACUCGGUCUGGUCUCUAGCUAGUUUCUUGUAUUGAAAUUUUCAACGGAGAAGAGUAGAAACAGUCGUUGGCUUGUCUUAGUAGAAAAGUAGUUUCCUUUUUUUUAAAAUAUAUAUCGGCUAUAAUUGCGGUAUCUAAUUCUGCAUAAGAAGAGAGAAUCUUAUGAUUUAUUC
rnacentral:lncRNA from 1 species